GUAUCGAUUGUUGAGAUCUGGCGACUUGUUUAAAUUUCAUCAGCCUCACUUCUAUGAACUCUCAGAGCUGAUUACCAACUCCUACCACUGUUAACCCUCAUCCAGGAACAAGCUUAUGUCUUUAACAUUCUGAGUGGGCUUCAGCAUCCUUGCAUAUGUUCAAUUCUUAAAAACCUGUUGAAAUAAAAGAUCAGGAGACAUAGGAAGGAUGCCAGAAGAGAGCGUGGCCUCACGUGUACCAGCUCUCUGCUCUCCUUUGCCUUGGGACGUUCCAUCCCUGGAAGUUUCCCUGCCCACAUCUUUGUAGAGAGUCCAUUCUCCAAGCUUCAGUGUGUCAUCUGUGAGGACCGUGACCCACCUGGUACAUCGCCUCAGGGCAUUCAUUUCAGGCUCCUUCUAAAUGGCCAAGUUUUCAAGAUUGUUUUGGCUCUAGCAAAACAAGUUGGAACAUUCACAUCAUCCAUCUUCUGCCAGCCUAACAAGCAUAGCAAGAAGAUAUAGCCCCACAACCACUUUAUGCACAAAGUUAGAAGCAUAAAAUCUCAUGGAAGGAGACCGAUUAUCUACAGAAGAGGUUGUCUUGCCAUUUCUCUCAUGUUAGAGGUAAACCUCAGGUUCUCCUCCUGCCUUUUGCUAAGUAUAUGUCUUGAUGACAAGCCUUCUGCUGAUGAGCUGUGUUUCUGGACCGAUCAUGGUAGAAGUCAAUUAACGUGUCCCUCACUUGGGGUUUCUCAAGG
rnacentral:lncRNA from 10 species